rnacentral:rRNA from 1 species
UACGUAGGUGGCAAGCGUUAUCCGGAAUUAUUGGGCAUAAAGAGCGCGCAGGUGGUUGAUUAAGUCUGAUGUGAAAGCCCACGGCUUAACCGUGGAGGGUCAUUGGAAACUGGUCGACUUGAGUGCAGAAGAGGGAAGUGGAAUUCCAUGUGUAGCGGUGAAAUGCGUAGAGAUAUGGAGGAACACCAGUGGAGAAGGCGGCUUCCUGGUCUGUAACUGACACUGAGGCACGAAAGCGUGGGGAGCAAACAGGAUUAGA